GGGACUUUGCCAGCAUCUCUAGGAUAACAGCUUUUAUCAGCAAUGAGCAGCAUGCCCACAGCUGUGUGCAAGGGCUCAGCUGCCAGCUGCUGAUAAGAGCAGCGCUGAAUGCUGUGUCUGACCCCAUCACCCCCUGCAAGCUGUUGUGUGACUCCAGCCGCUCUGAGGGUUGGGGGGCUUCAGGACCCAUGUAGCACCCUCUUCCCUUCUGCAAAGGCCAGGGCGAAACAUGACCACUAAUGAAUGGGGCACAGCGGCACCAGGCCACAGGACAUGAAGAAGCUAAUUUGGAACUGCAAGAAGUUAAGGAGAUGAAAUGUGCAGCCUUAACUGCCUUGGGACCUGCCUUUCUCCCUGUAUCAUAAGCGACCUGUUGAAUCAAAAGGGAAGGGGGCUUGCUGGAGCCUCUCCGAGGUGCGGAUACUCCACCACCCAAGCUUGGAGUCUUGACUUUCCAGGCGAGAGCUCAAGGCCACCUUGGCUGCCUUUUCUCUCUGCCUCUCCCACUCCUGGCAUGAUAACAGCUCCCGGUGAAGGACAGUUUGCACAGUUAUCUGCAGUGGCUUCUCCUCAAUCUUUGCACGGAGUCCCUGGCCGGGGUGCUGCCGGGUGUGGGCUGAGCCUCGCUACCGGCUCCCAUCUGGCCCUUUGGUUUAACAGCUUUUUCCCUCAAGCUGCCCCAAUGCCCUCCUGAAAUGGGCUGUCUAUUGACCUCCGUCCCCAGGCUGUAACCAAGCUCCUGGGUGAGCACCAGCGCUCUGAGGCACGGGUGCUGCUCUACAGGAGGGCAGAGCAUGGGCACCGGCCAGCUGGCUUAGCAAGCCUGAGCCCUGCUCCACCAAGAUCGACUUCAGCCAGGGGUGGAGCAGGAAUCCUGCAUCAGGGCUAGAAACCGGCCUGGACCAUCACGCUGGCCUUGCUCCUCAGCCCAAGACAGCAGCGGUUCCUUGGCUUCAGCACGUGAACUUGUACCUGGCUGCUCAGUGCAAGGCCAGACUCCACCUUGGUGAGUCGGCACCAGCUUCAGUGGGGUCUGGCCAGGGAUGGAUUCAGGCUGACCUGCCAGAAGUCAGGGUCCCGGUCGGUCCUGGGGUCUCUACAGGGAUUGGCGAAAAAGGAAGGAGCCUUUUGCAGGUCAGUUACGUGGCACCAACUACACUAGGCAAGCUGCUGAUCUCUCUCCAUCCACGUUCUCCAAUCAUUCCCAUUGCUGUGGCAUCUGGCCAGAUGACACCUCAGCACCUGGGAGAGACGCAGCCCUGGGGGGACUGAGGACAGGUACUGUGGGACGAGGGGUCCGAUGAGUCGGCGGGCCUACUGGUAGCGCUCUCCUCCGACAUCUCGAAGCCACACUCGUGACUUUGGAAGCCAAUGGGGUCGUUUUUGAUUGAUGCCGUUUGAACGCUUGGUGUUGGCGACGCUGCCGAUAUUAACUCUCCACCCUGAGGCUUUCUCUAAGUGGAAGGUGGUGAGCUGCAGGGACAGAUUCCUCCCUGCCCUGAGCUCUCUGGUGUUACUUACCCCAUGUGCAGAAUGUGGGGGAGAUGCAGGGGACAAGGAACUAUGAAGGAGCUAGGGAGAAGCCGGUCAGAGCCAGGGGGUCAUGUUCAGCCCUCGUGUAAGCAGCUGGGGCCGGGGUCUGCGCCACAUCCAUGGCAGACGGCCUCGUGGGGCCAGAACGUCCCACAGGUAGAGGAAGCACCAGCGUUCUCCCUGUCCUCUGUCCAAGUGUGCAAAGGGCUUCAGAGUGCUCUCCCCACUCCGUACCCACACAGGGGGGACUGGACUCCUUUGGCAGAUGCCAGGGCCCAGCGGGCUGUCACGUUCGGGCUAGGCGGUGUCCAGGGCGCAGCCCCCGGAAGAGCAGAGUCACAGCCCCCAAGUAUUUGCCAACCUGUUUUUCUAACUCGGCUCAGCCAAACAUACCUUAAUAGCUGCUUGUAGCAGGAGGGAUAGACAGAGAGCUUUGUUUGUGCCCCAGCAGGGAGCGAGAACGCCCAGUGAUAAAUCACUUCAUUGCGCCAAUUGUACCUGAUAGCACUGGGCUAGCGAGCAGAUAACAGAACCCCCAGACCUCCAGUUACAAAUAGAAAUGGGAGCGGUGAGGGCAGCUUGUUUAAGGUGAUCUGAGUUUUAAUGGGUUCGGUGACGCUUACUCUGCAAUGGGCAUGAUAAAGGAUGCUUCAGACUGGCCAUAGUCUGUCUAUCUUCAUCACUCUGAUCAGCUGUGACCUACAGCGCACUGGGUUUGUGCCUGAGUUUAUUAAUAAUGAUCAUCUCCCUAAUACGUCAUUCUUACCCAGAACGUCACAUCUGUAAGCUGCAGGACCCUCAUGAAGAGGGUAAAUAACAUCCUCCCUGUUUUACAAAUGGAGAAACUGAGGCCCGGAGCUGGGAAAUGAUUUGUCCAAGUCUGUUUUGCUUCUUGAUGAUGUAUAAAAAUUCCCCAUCUCUCCCCCCACAAUCCCCUGUACAUUAUGGGGGUGCAGUUCUGGAUCCUAAAGGGUUUUUUCUCUUGCUCGUUAAUUACCUCAGAAAUAUUAAUAUUGUCAGACCUCGUCUCCCCUGGAUUCAUGGGAGGGCUUUUUGGUCUGCCUUGGAGAAAUGUAUUGUAACCUCUCCCACCUCAGUUAAAGGGGGUGGGAAUUCUGAGUCUUUAACCAAGACGUCCUGUUGCCUAAGGCUAGACUAGGCAUCCGAGUGAAACAGGCGCUAACAGAAACGGUCCCGAGGUUUCAAAAGUGCCUACGGGAGGUUGGGGAGGCGCUUCCACUUUUGGAGGCCCAACGUGGGACGUCUUAAAGGGGUUGUCAGAAGGGGCUGAGCCGCUGCCCUCUGAAAAUCAGGCUCUUGUUAAAGGUGCUUAGGUUGGGCCCUGGACUCACUAGCAUUUUUGAAAGUCUUGGCCAAAGGGCUGUAAACAGGCUGACUACAAUUUCCUUCCCUUCCCUUCCCAGCUGUGGGUCUCGUAUUGCUCGUCAUCCUCUCCUAACGAAAUCCAUCCCAACAAGCGGAGCUUCUUGCCAUCACCCUGAUCGGCUGUGUGUUCCCUCCCUGCGCUCUGUCUGGCUUUAGACUGUUCACUCUUUGGAGCAGGGUCUGCUACUCGCCUGUGUCUGUUUAGCACCCAGCCCAACCAGGCUCCAAGGCUGGCUGGUUCCUAGCCACUACAGGAAGAAACGCAAUCAUUGAGCUAGUUCCCCAGGCCCCGCAGAGGCGUCCAGGGUUUUAGUGCUGCUCCUCGCCCCUGCCCUCUCUAGCUUCGGUUCCAGUCAGUCUUGGCCCUUUCCUGGUUUCCAACAAUGGCAAACAGACCAGAGCUUUACAAAACCAAACCUUUGCGAACAGACCACAACACCCAAUAAAGCCUGGGAGCCACUGCCACCCAGUGGAUGAUAGAGAUGACACAUUGCUGGGCUGCAAAGCAGAGAACCCACAACAGCUGACGCCCCGUGACAGUUCAGCAAAUGCAUAGCAGGCCAAUCUUGAAUCCUCCAGCAUGCAUGUAUAAUAAGUUAGCUAUUGCGUCCAAGUGCACAGGUGGAUACCCCCGCCUUGUACACAAGAUGGAUCUUCAGAGGCCCUGGGGAGCAAAACAAAUGAGUGCACAACAUCCUCUUUGAGUCAGGUCAUCUUUCGACAUCUUUGUCCUCCUGCAGGAUUAUAGCCAUUAAAUAGUUUGCAUGGUUUGUUUCUGUGCAUGGUAAUCUCCUUCAGUCAGCAUGGAAACUAGAUGUCAGACAGGCCUUGAUGGCUCAUAAGAUCAGGAGUACCUGGUGCCCUCCUUUAUAUCCCUCCCACACAGUAGGAUCUAUAGUUAGUUGUUUUUUUUUCGCCCUCUCCCAUGGUUUCAAACACGUGGAUUGAAAUUGUCCACUCUGGGGCUCUGUAGAGUACGUGAGCUGAGGCCGGCAUUCUCGGUCUCGGUGCUAGUGAUCAGGUGUCCAGUCUGGCCACAGUAAAAAAUCUGGCAUUCAAAGAUGGUCCGAGUAGAUUCCCCAUGUGCCCAACUGGGAAAUAGCCCUGUUACUGUUCAGAUCAUGUGUGCAGGCCUCUGUGUGUUUGGCCAGACAGGAUGGAGUUAAAUCAGAGGAGGCUGUAAAUGCGGAAACCUGCAGGCCAGGAGCAAUGGCGAAGAUUAGACAGCCCCCUCCCAAGGCCAUGCCUCGAUCAAAAGAGACCUAAAGGCCCUGGAAAAGGGAGAGAAGGAGUGUGAUAGGAAGGGAGGAGAGGGGAGUUAGGAGAAGCUACCAAGCGUGUGUCAGAGAAAAGCUGACCGUCUGCCUGCUACCCAGAGGAACAGGGAGACACAGGGACUUGUAAACAAGCCAGAGAUGGACUCAGCUGGGCUGAGGGGCACUUUGCUCUAAUGCAUUGUCCCUUUGAGAAACGAACGAACAACGGGCUGUUUUGGAGACACUGGCUCUUGGUCCCUGCAAAUGGGAAAUGUCCCAGGCUCUCGAAGAGAAACUCCUAGUGGUGCUCAAACUAGACUGACUCUGUGUCAUUAACACAAUUGGGAGCCAGGGAUCCAGCCUGACAGUGGUUGUACCCAAAAUGAGGGAGGAAACCAGGCCUGUCAUGUAAGGGGUGCACUGGAGAGGGACUGAAAGAGGCCCAAGGCACAGUUUACCCAGUAACUGGGACACUUUAUAAAUUAAAAAAACAAAACAAAACUUGAAUCCAUCAUAAUUCAUACUAUUUAUGCCCCUUCUUGACAAAGCAGACAGGCCAUGGGCUGAAAGGGUCUCUCUCAUGCAUAGAAGGUGUCUCUCCAGGGGAAGUCUGAGGCUCUUGGCACGUGGAGAGAGCUUGCAUUGUGGAUAGAAAACUUUUUAAAAAUUGCAAACUGUCACUUCAAAGCCGAAGGGAUUUUUUUACUCAUCCUGCGUACAGGGUAGGGGAUUCUAUAGGGAAGCAUGUGAUCAGAGUCAAUUCUUCAGAUAGAUAGCCAGUUUAGAGUAAAGUGGGACAAGUUGUGUGUCUCUCUUUUUUGGGGAGCAGCCUGUUUUGUGUCUCUCUGAUUUGGGGUUCUUGUGUGUUAUUGUUCAGAAUGGUAAGAUAUAAAGCAGUGUUACAUUGCAAUCUUUCAGCAAAA